rnacentral:rRNA from 1 species
AUACGUAGGUGGCAAGCGUUGUCCGGAAUUACUGGGUGUAAAGGGCGUGUAGGCGGGAAAGCAAGUCAGAAGUGAAAUCCCAUGGCUUAACUGUGGAGCUGCUUCUGAAACUGUUUUCUUGAGUGCUGGAGAGGAAAGUGGAAUUCCCAGUGUAGCGGUGAAAUGCGUAGAGAUUUGGAGGAACACCAGUGGCGAAGGCGACUUUCUGGUCUGUAACUGACACUGAGGCGCGAAAGCGUGGGGAGC